rnacentral:lncRNA from 1 species
GAGGAGAUGAGAAACAACUUACAGCGGCAAUCUUAAUACAGCUAAUGGCCAAAGAAGUAUGUUUUUCAUACUCAGUGUAUGGAAUGAAACAAAAACGUCCUGCAAGGUCGUUAUAGAGUUGCGUUUAGUCGUUUAUCGUUGUAUUCGUUCAUUUCGAAAUCGCUACUGACAAAAG